rnacentral:rRNA from 1 species
GGCUCCGGCCCUAUCAGCCUGAAGGCGCCCGAUCUCGUCUGAUCUCGGAAACAAAUGGCCUCAAGAAAAGAAACUGCUGAGGUCA